rnacentral:rRNA from 1 species
AUUGAACGCUGGCGGCAGGCCUAACACAUGCAAGUCGAGCGGCAGCACGGUGCUUGCUCGUGGUUUCGGCGGCGGACGGGUGAGUAGUGCCUGGGUACCUGCCUGUUAGCUGUGUAUUACGGCCUGACACGGGCGCUAAUACGCCAUAAGUCCUUACGGAGAAAGUGGGGGAGCAUCGGACCUUCCGCUCUCGGACGAGCCUAUGUGGGAUUAGCUAGUUGGCGGGGUAAAGGCCUACCAAGGCGACGAUCCGUAACUGGUCUGAGAGGAUGAUCAGUCACACUGGAACUGAGACACGGUCCAGACUCCUACGGGAGGCAGCAGUGGGGAAUAUUGGACAAUGGGCGAAAGCCUGAUCCAGCCAUGCCGCGUGGGUGAAGAAGGUCUUCGGGUUGUAAAGCCCUUUUAGUUGGAAAGAAAAGCAGCAGGUUAAUACCCCGCUGUUUUGACGGUACCAACAGAAUAAGCACCGGCUAACUUCGUG